rnacentral:rRNA from 1 species
CCUACGGGCGGCAGCAGUAGGGAAUCUUUCACAAUGGGCGAAAGCCUGAUGGAGCAACGCCGCGUGCAGGAUGAAGGCCUUCGGGUUGUAAACUGCUUUUAUAAGCGAGAAAUAUGAUGGUAACUUAUGAAUAAGGAUCGGCUAACUACGUGCCAGCAGCUGCGGUCAUACGUAGGAUCCGAGCAUUAUCCGGAGUGACUGGGUGUAAAGAGUUGCGUAGGUGGCAUAAUAAGUAGCUAGUGAAAUCUGGUGGCUCAACCAUUCAGACUAUUAGCUAAACUGUUAAGCUCGAGACCGUUAGGGGUAACUGGAAUUUCUAGUGUAGGAGUGAAAUCCGUAGAUAUUAGAAGGAACACCAAUAGCGUAGGCAGGUUGCUGGGACGGUUCUGACACUAAGGCACGAAAGCGUAGGGAGCAAACGGGAUUAGAUACCCGAGUAGUC